AUAGCAUGAUCUUGUUUAUGUAAUGUUAACUACCGACUUAGACUUUCUCAAUCAGUAUAAACAAAAAAUAGUUUUUUGUUGUCCGUUAUAAGAUUAGUCAGGACACUGUUGGGUUUCUGUGUGUAGAGUAUCAUGUGUUUAGCUGCUGGUGAGGUGAGUGAUGGGAAAGGGGAGGGGUGCAAGCCUCCUGCUGUGCAAACAAUUCACACCUCUCCAUACUAACACUGGUACAGACAAUAAAAUUAUAAUAUUUAAACCCAAUAGGCUAGGUGCAAAAAACCCCCCAAAAACUUAUGAAAUACUGCAAAUUCUUAAAGCCCUGAGUGUCUACAUUCAUUUGAGCCAUUAAUCACUACUGUGGGGUGUGACAUCUCAAAUAAAAUCAAUGCUGAACCUGGGCACCCCCAAAACAUGCAGCCUCUGAGCCUUGCACAGGGGGAAAUAAAACAGAUGUCGGCAGGUAAUGAGUUCAACUAUACUGAACAGCAACAGAAAAGAAAAUCUAAGGGUCAUGCUGUUUGUCGACUCACAUCUCGCAGUUGCUCCUCGACCAUGGCAAUCUCACCUGAAGGAACCUAUUAAAUACAUCAAUAAGUGAUUCACUCCAUCUUCAGUAAAUGCUUUCCGCUCAGAGUCCAGGUGGAUCUGGAUCUAUCCAUAGAACACUGGAAGCGUGGUAGGAAUACACUAUGCACUAAGGCUGGUGAAACCGGAGAACCCAGAGAAAAUCAAGGUGGACAUGUGGAGAACAUGCACACAGACAGUAACCUGAGCUCAGGAUCAAGCCAGGGAUCCUGGAUCAGAGAGGCUGCGCCACUGUGCCCCCUUCUAUGAAUAUGAUGUGAUUAA